UACAGAGACCUCAAGCAUUAUCCGGAUUUAUUGGGCGUAAAGCGUCCGCAGGUGGUUUGGUGUGUCAGGGGUUAAAACCUACGGCUUAACCGUAGGAUCGCCUUUGAAACUGCCAAACUAGAGUGUGGAAGAGGUGAGCGGAAUUCUCGGUGUAGUCGUAAUAAGCGUUGAUAUCGAGAAGAACACCAAAUGCGAAGGCAGCUCACUGGUACACUACUGACACUCAGGGACGAAAGCGUGGGGAGCAAACAGG
rnacentral:rRNA from 1 species